CGGAGUUAAGAAGACUGGGGUGGAGGAACAUGAAGAACAGGGCGGCAGUCGUCAGAUGUAGGCAAAAUCAUUUAUAGACAGGACAGAGGACGCAGCUCAGAUGAAUCUCCGGAAAGAACUAAACAUCGCAAAGAAGAAUGUGAAAGAGCACGAAGGUUUUUAACGACGCCUCGCUUCGAUGUCCCGAUAUAAACUUGGAAACCGACAUCAAUCACCUUAUGGCUGCUGUGGCACGGAGGCAGUGGGGGUGUAGGUCUUAAUGCACUUUGACGACUUAUCGGCCAUACAUCCUGUGAAUGACCUUUUUGCUAAAGCCUAAUGUCCAAUUCAGCAUCACCGAUGACCAGGGUGAAGUUGUAGCAGACGAAAUUUUAGACAUACAUUAGUAACUAAAGACAUUGUUUACAGAAAUGCUUUUAUCAAUUAUUGAUGAAAAUUCACUGCUUGGAAUACAAAUAGGCCUAAAAUCAUAAAUACAUUUUGUGAUGUU